AAUUUAUGUAACAGCUGCAAGUAGGCAGGGUCUUUUGCUUCCAGCUGCACCUUGUAAUUGGCCAAAUCCUUUUGGAGGCGUUCAAAAUCUCUCUCUUUAUCCAUCUCAUCACCGCUGCUGCUACUGCCGGGCAGGUGUUUCCUUUGUUCAGUCUUCUCUCCAAACAAGGGCAGUGUAACCUGUACAGGUUCAAUAGGUUUGUCAUCAAUCUCGCCCAUAUUUUUGCACCCUCAGAAACUCCAAGCCAGAGCCAAUCUGAAAUUGUGCAUUGGAAAACUGGAAAAUGAGAGAGAAAAUAAAAGAUUGUAUCUGAAAG
rnacentral:misc_RNA from 1 species